rnacentral:lncRNA from 1 species
CGGCGCUGGGCUCCAGCUCGGCCAAGGCCACGAUGUCCACGGCGGGGUUGGGGCCCAGCUUCUUGGCCGACUCCACGUCGGCCUUCAUCUCCUCCAGGUCGCGUUUGAGCUUGGCGCGGCGGUUCUGGAACCAGGUGAUGACCUGGGCGUUGGUGAGCCCCAGCUGCUGGGCGAUCUGGUCCCGGUCCGCCGGCGACAGGUAUUUUUGGUAGAGGAAGCGCUUCUCCAGCUCGUAGAUCUGGUGGUUGGUGAAGGCCGUCCGAGACUUCCGACGCUUCUUCGGCGUCUGCCGCUGCCCGAAGAUCGUCAUCCCGUCCCUUCCUGCCGACGAGCCGUCACAUUGCCACCUCGCCCCGAACAAACCGCCCCCCCCCCCCCCUCCUUCCCCGGCCCUCCCGGAUCCCCCGCUCCCCUCCGCGCGCCCUCGGCUGCGCGCACCGCCGCCCUCCGACGGGACCCCCGCGCCCCCUCUUCGCCUUACCUUCGGCCGCCUGCAGCACGCUGACUUCCAGCCCCUUGAAGGUUUUGCUGGCCAGCUCCUCCAGGGCGCACAGCGGCGACGUCUGCGAGAGCAGCGCCCGGCCCGACAGCGGCAGCCCGGCCGCGGGGUGCUUCUCGGCGGCGGACAGCAGGUGGGCCGUCCCGCACAGCGCGUAACUCCUCCGCACCGACGGCUUGUUGAGGAUGUCCUCGAUGCUGAAAGGGGCUUCUGCUUUAUUUCAAACGUCUCCCUCCGGCUCAACCCGGAGCCCUUCUGCUGUUUUAAUGAGGGGAAGAAGGGGAGAACGUGUCUCCAGCCCCAGCAAUCCAAUCGGACGUGGGCUCCCAGCAAGAACAGCCGCGACGUGCCUACCCAGGGCCUGGCAAGGCGAGAACUCACUGUAUUUUAUUUUUAAGUAUUUCGAUGGGUACACCCAUCCCUCCUCCAUGCCGGGACAGAGAGCAGACGGGACCGCUUCCCCCGAACGACGACCGCACAGGGGUCCCCCUGCCCUGCGAUUUGGCUCUGGACAAAACUUUGUUGGCCGGAGGGGGGGUGGUGGUGGGGGGGCAGCGACACGGGGCUGCGACUGCCGAACCGCUCUGGCUCCUCCGAGAGCUGUAAUAUCUCCUCGGCUCCCGGCACGCGUGAAUAAUUCACCGGGCUGCCAAAUCUAAGUAACGUGUGUGGCAGCUCUGAAGGAGGCGAAGGCCCGUUUUUGGGGGGCAGGAGGAGGUGUGGGGAAUCAAUUGAAACUUAAUAUAGGGCGUGGGGGGGAGAAUGGCGGAAAUAAGGCAGGCAACUUCUUCUAAUAACAACUGGCUGUUAAUAAUUCAGGAGCAGUCAUUGGAUUAUAGCGCAAUAUCCGAAGUACGCGGUGCCGGCACAGUGCGGGUGGAUAAUGUAAUCGGAGCUCAUUUCGGCUUCCAAUAAAUUACAGCAGCAAAAGUUUCCUGUUAAAGCAGUUAUUUGUAUUUCUUUUUCUGAAGGUGAUCCCCCUCCCUCCUCCUCUUCCAACAACUGCAGUGAGGAAGUUAAUUAAAAACUAAUAUUCCCACCCCUUGCAAAAGCAGUACGGAGAUGCGGAGCGGGAGGCACUGCCAGAGUUUGCCCGUCAUCUCUUUCAACUUUGUGUGCUGCCAGG